AAUUAUUCUGUAUUAAUGAUAUUUGACUAUUCAUAGCAAAAAUCUAUUUUUCUCUCCUUUUCUGGAUAGACAAAGAUUACCUUUCAACUAGUUAUACGGCUGGCUAAUUCCAGUCUCUGUAUGCAGUGCAUCAGUCUUGUCAGGGGUGUAUCUGUUACCUUCUGGGGUUCCUGGAACCCCAUUGUCAUUGUAUCUCUAUGGAGAGAUGUCAGGAGCUCUCCUGGGGGCAGCUCCCUGUCCCAUUAGACCACCUCCAGUGCAGGACUGCUGAAAGCUGAGGUGCUGCUACAUGGUGUGACAGGGAGCUGAAGCCAGCCAGCAGCUGUCACCUCCACAUGUCACCCCACAACUUCUCCUCUUCCAGGAGACCACCUCAGAAGCAGGGCUACUCCACCGCCUGCCAGGACACACAGCACACCUGGAUGUCUCACCCCAAGAACAUUCCCAUGUGGUAGGUGAUACAUGUAGGAAGCAGCCAAGCUGGAGACAGACACCACAAGAACAGCACAGUUAUCUGAGGGGCCAAGCAGCACCUUGAAACAGAGUGAACAGACAGCAUCAAAAGGAGUGACUACCAGAAUGCUGGGUUUUCAGAAGUAAACCCAAGGACACAGCAAAAUGAAGACUUGAGAGGAGAAAAACGUUGGACAAUUGUCUUAAUGUUUCAACCACCAGAAAACCAGCUGAGAAGCAAAUGAAGUUGGAGAGUCCUGGAAGCUGCAUGACUGAUCUAUCAAGACUUCCACUGUACUUGAAAGGUCCAUGGGUCACAACUGCAGGAAGUCACAUUUUGAGACCCAGCUAUGAAGCUAUUCGAAUGGCCUGAAGAUAUAUCCCACAUCAAAUGGCUGACCUCCUGCACUCCAAUGCUGCAGAUCACGCCAGACUGCUGUAUUGCACAAUUCUGCAGUAGCUGUGGUUUCCAAAGAAAACAUUCCAGGAGACUGCAUCACACUGGUUAAUAUAGCAAAAAAGAGUGUGCUUUUUCUUAUUCCUGAAAUUUAAUGAAUAAAACAAGGUAAU
rnacentral:lncRNA from 1 species